rnacentral:rRNA from 1 species
UACAGAGGGUGCAAGCGUUAAUCGGAAUUACUGGGCGUAAAGCGAGCGUAGUCGGUUAUUUAAGUCGGGUGUGAAAGCCCCGGGCUCAACCUGGGAAUUGCAUUCGAUACUGGAUAGCUAGAGUUCGGCAGAGGGAAGCGGAAUUUCCGGUGUAGCGGUGGAAUGCGCAGAUAUCAGGAGGAACACCGAUAGCGAAGGCAGCUCGCUGGGACGGUACUGACGCUGAGGUGCGAAAGCGUGGGGAGCGAACAGG